UACGGGGGGGGCAAGCGUUGUUCGGAAUUACUGGGCGUAAAGGGCUCGUAGGCGGCCAACUAAGUCGGACGUGAAAUCCCCAGGCUCAACCUGGGAACUGCGUCCGAUACUGGAUGGCUUGAAUCCGGGAGAGGGAUGCAGAAUUCCAGGUGUAGCGGUGAAAUGCGUAGAUAUCAGGAGGAACACCAAUUGCGAAGGCAGCUCGCUGGGACGUUACUGACGCUGAGACGCGAAAGCGUGGGGAGCAAACAGG
rnacentral:rRNA from 1 species